GGAUAUAGCUCAGUGGUAGAGCUUCUGCUUAACAUGCAUGAGAUCCUGGAUUUAUUACCCAGUACAUCCA
rnacentral:tRNA from 1 species